UAACAACUUUCCUGUAUAAGGCACAACCCCCUGUACUUGAAAAUUUAUCGAAAGAAAAUCAAUGCAAUUGAUUUGCAUUUAAUUGUUGUCUAUUUUUAGUGGCUGUGAUUUUGGCUGACGGAAACAAAAGCAACCGACAACGAGGAGGUGGAAGAAGAACCCAUGGCCGCUUUUGGCUAUUGAAAGUGGAGCCGCUGCGAGAGCCAAGGGAGCCGCGCUUCCACUGGCUGUUGCAGUUCCAAUUCCAGUUCCUCCACAGGCCGCUGAGCAAGUGCUAAGCACUUGGCCGGUGCGAUUUGAUUUCACUGACCUCGAUUAUGGCCGGCAACCGAUAUGGUCCCGAGUCUGGGAAGCUGGGAAACCUGCGGCUUUGCUGGACUAUUGAAUUAUUCAUUCAAGAAGCAAACAAAAAAAAAAAAAGAGGAAAAAAGAACAUGGUAUUGUCGGGGGAGCCACAGCCAAAUGGCAAACCGGCGGCGACAACUCGCCUAAUUACAGCGGAUCUUCUACGGAAUCUCUCGUACUUGUACGGUCCCAAAUCCUCUCGUGGAGCACUCAGCAGCACUCGGGCUGCUGGCAAACUGGCAGCUUGUCGGGGCUUAUGCAAUGGCAUUCUGUCUGGGAUUUGCAUCACUGAGCGUGGCCAGUUUCGGUUGUCAUGGAAUUUCAUAGCCACAAUGGAAAGGAUUUGGACCAUGGAAUUGAGGGCUUUAUCGAAAAUUAAAUAGUCACGAAUUUGUCGCCAGUUUGCUAUAUAAAGGGUUAAGAAGCAAGGUUUUGGAGCUUCAAAAUAAACAAAAAUGUCUUGUCUUCGAAUUUUGCUUACCAUCACUUUGAUACUGAUUAUAGCCAUGGACUCUAAAUUAAAUCGUAUUUUGUAUAUUAAAAAAAAGAUUUUAAGUUGAGGUUUUAAUAAAAGCUGUUGAACUAUUU